UUUCCCUAUCUGUGUCCAUUUGAUAAAGAAUUAGCUUGAUCAUGUUUUUUUUCUCAGAUGCCUGUCAAGUUGUUUUACACGUAUAUUUUUUGUUCUUUUACUAGCUGUGGUCUGGCAACACCUAUUUGUGGCAGUGAAAAUUGCCAUUGACGUGGAAUGCUGAGCGGUGGGAUGGCAGAGCAUCACUCUGAUGAGCCAAGAUAAAAUCAUUUCUCUGGUCUGCAGACACUAACACAACCAACCUGUCUGAAAUCUUUUCUCUUGCCCACAACUUUGCAUACACAUGACCUCAGUGUGCAGGACCAGCGAGAAAUCCUUCACUUGUUCAGCCUGGAGGAGAGAAGGCUUUGAGGAGACCUUAGAGCAGCUGCCAGUGCUGAAAGGGGCUCCAGGAAAGCUGGGGAGGGGCUCUGGAUCAGGGAGUGCAGGGAUAGGAUGAGGGGAAUGGUUUUAAGGUGAAUGAGGGGAGAUUGAGAUGAGAUCUUAGGCAGAAAUGUUUUGCUGUGAGGGUGGGGAGGCCCUGGCCCAGGGUGCCCAGAGCAGCGGUGGCUGCCCCAUCCCUGGAGGGGUUCCAGGCCAGGUUGGAUGGGGCUUGGAGCCCCUGAUCCAGUGGGAGUGUCUCUCCCCAUGGCAGGGGGUGGGACUGGAUGGGCUUUGAGAUCCCUUCCAACCCAACCCAUUCUAUGAUUCUAUGAGAUAGUGCUGGUGAGGUUCAUCAUGGAGCGUCUGAGGGCACCUGGACUGGUGACACAACCUGUGUUCUUAGGGUAGGUACUCAGCCACAGCACUUGAGUCACAGAGUUUUCAACAGCGAGUCUCCAUCCGCCAACCGUCACAACAGCGUUGCCACAGCCCUGCUCCCCAGGCUAAAAGUCAACAGUCCAUUACUUGAUUUUAAGUGCUGAUUGCUAUUCUUAAUUAUUUGAUCAAUUGAUAGCUGUCAUAAAGCUUCACAAGACUACUUACAGUGUUCCUCUUUCAUUAUCCCCAAGACUGGUAACCUCGGUUUGAGCUGUUAGUGAGGCGGCACCAACAGCAGUGGGAAGAUGGAAGCAGUUGUCCCGUACAACAUUACAAGCACCUAAAUAGCCAGGUUGUACACACUCAUUUCAGUGAUGGAGCAAUAAAAAGGCUGCAGUUCUGGUUCUCUCAUUUUUUGACUGUAAACACCUUUAAUUCAGUUUUGCUUUCAUUGAGUAACUUCCACGUUUGCAUAUCUUGGUACUUCUAGUACACACAUUAUGAAAUGUGGGCUGGCUCUUUAUUUCCCGAAAGAGCUUGAUAAUCAACAAGAUAAACCCUACGGAUUUUUUGAAGGGUUUGUAACUCCCAGGCUUCCUCUACAAAGGCAAGACCAUACACCGCUCACUCAAUCUCAUGCGCCCCCACAACACGCGCUGUGAUCAAUCAUCGCUGUGAAAUACUUAUUUUUCUAUAUUGUAUAUAUUUUUUUUUCUUACAAGUUUUCCAUUUUGAAAUGUGCUAUUCCUUUUCAAAAUGCCAAACACUCAAACAGUAUCUGCCUCUCCUGGUGACUCUGUGCUGCCUUCGCUGCCCACUGUGACCACUUUGACUGUGGAAGGGGACGUGCCCAGCAAAGCUGAUCCUGCGAGAGGUCUGAAGUCUUGGACCUUGGCACGGAAAGGUGUCUCGUCUGGAAACCCAGAGUGCCCUCUCCUCGGCGUGCAGGUAUGGCUAUUCUGACCCUUGGGCUCUGUUCUAGUUAGAUUAAGUGAGAACAUUUAUUAUACAUGAAAAUUGUUUGCCGAGGGAGUAGGAGAGGCCAAAAGCUGACAUGAUCAUUCCACUAAACGUCACUUUCCCGCAGCCAAAUUUGUAACAAACACGACAGUAGGGAUCAUUGUUUGGUAUAUAUAUUGCCCUGUAAUCAUUUCCACAAGCCGAGACUCGGUCCCGGCACGCCUGAAGAGCUCACGAGGGGCAGGAAAUGCAAACACAGCCUCUCAAAACACACGCCUGCCGCUCACUCACCCACCAGGAUGGCUCCUACGCUCAACGUGGUGACUGCCCACCAGGAGCAAGGGCAGAACUCGGUCUCUUUGUCACUGCUCCAAACCCUCCUCCCCCGAGAUUUUCCUAUAAACCCAUGUUUCAAUGAGGAUGCUUCCAUAACCCUAGUAACAGGGAAUCGCUAACAUAGGGGGUUGUAGUGUGGGGGAAAAGUGCAGUUUCACACAGACUUAAUGCAAGAGGUUGAAGGAGCAGACAUCGGCCUCACUAGAAGAAAAGUUACAACUGAAUGCAUAAAAACUUAAACUGUCUAAAGUUUAAUUCCAGCUGGGCAAUUAGAAUACUGGAAGAGGGGAGACUGAGAUGAGAUCUUAGGGAGAAAUGUUUUGCUGUGAGGGUGGGGAGGCCCUGGCCCAGGGUGCCCAGAGCAGCGGUGGCUGCCCCAUCCCUGGAGGGGUUCCAGGCCAGGUUGGAUGGGGCUUGGAGCCCCUGAGCCAGUGGGAGGUGUCCCUGCCCGUGGAUCUCAUCUCAAUCUCCCCUCAUUCAGUUUAAAACUGUUACCCUUGUCCUCUCCCUGCCCUCCCUGAUCAACAGCCCCUCCCCAGCUUUCCUGGAGCCCCUUUCUGCACUGGAAGCUGCUCUAAGGUCUCCCUGCAGCCUCCUCUUCUCUGAAGAGAACAACCCCAAUUUUCUCAGUCUGUCCUUGGAUGUGAAGUGCUCCAGCCCUUGGAUCAUAUUUGUGGCCUCCUCUGGACUUGCUCUAAUAGAUCCAUGUCCUUCACUCCAUGGGCUUCUCUCAUCCCUCUCUCCUAUUUAAAUAUAUAUGAUCUUGACUCAGUGCUCAAGGACAUUGUUGGGAGAAUUCAUUUUAAUGUAUCAAAGCAUCCUUGGCUUUAUUAGCACAGUCACAUAAUUAUCCCCGGAGAAACUUACACUCAUAUGUUAACGCCCAUAAAUUAUUGUGUGGAUCUCUUUUAUACCUUAUUUUGGGUCUCUGGGAAAGAUACAUCACCGGGCACUUAGUUCAGUACUUGUUUCAGAAGGCGUGAGCUGCCUAUGCCCUGGGUGAAAUGUUGGGGAGACAGAGUGGUGCUGGCAGUGUCUUCUGAAAGCUUGGUGGAAGCCAAACCCUAACCGUGCUCAGAAUGUGAUGCAAGAACAGGAUGCGCCUCUUCAAUUUCACAACAGAGUUCUUAAAAAGACAGGGAUUUAAAAAGGAGAAUGGAGAUCAAUAGAAAUUCAUGUAGGGCAAAGUGUGAGGAAAACCCUGUUGUAGCAGGGAACAAAUUCUCUGUAGUCCAAGGUGGAGAGCCUGAUCUAAAAGUUCAUGGUAGGAUAUCAAUAUCAGUGUUUUCUAGAUAUGCUGAGUUGCUUAGCCAUACCUGACACUGUUCUCUUAGAUCAGAGGUACCAGAUUAGAGGCCUCAUCUGCUGAAUUUUCUCAUAAUCCUUAUGAACUUGGUAUGAGUGCAGUAAAAUUUGCUGCAUAUGAGCUCAGAAAUCAGCUGUAGCACCUUCAGAUCUUGGCCACGGACAGGAGCUGGCUCAUCAUCGAAUAUUUUAAUGCAGACCUGUUGUAUACUUAUCUUUAUAGUCUUUCAUUGAUUUUUCCCGGUAUUAAGAGUAUGCUAUUCUAUGCAUAUUUGAUACAUUCAUUUUACUCAAACUGUUAAAUACCAAACAUUAGGACUUUGAAAAAUGUAUCUUGCUUUUUAUGAACAGCUGUGUUACACUUUGACUCAAGUGAUUUUAGUAAAUCCUCUUUGAUGUUGUAUCUUAUUCAGUUGUUUGACAUUUCUACACAGGGUGACUAUCCUGAUUCUCCUCUAAGAGGGAUAAAAGUCAGGCAGGUUCUUCCCCUCCUUUGAUCACUUUACAGCUUGGAAACUGCAAACUGAUAUUCCAAACCCAAAGCUUUCCUGGAGCAGAGCGCAGUGUUUCACGUUGCCUGCCAGAGCGCUGGCGAUCGCCACAGUGGUUCACUCUACUGCACUUGUACCGGUAUUGCCUAAUUUAUUAAUCAUGGAAAUUUUACAUGCAAAUUAGCCACACAGUUGUGAAUCAUAAGACAAUAAUCCCAAAAUCUGUCUUCACAUGUAUUAAUGCCCACUAACAGGCAUGUCCCAUUACAGCAGUACACGCUUUCCCCAUUCUAUUCCAAAAGCUCACGAAAAGCCUUAUCAUCAAAUGUUUUCUUUUUGUUCCUUACUUCUGACUUUCUAAAAUGUGAGAGUAUUUAGCUCCAAGGGUUUUUUGUGCCUGGCUUUUUCCAGGUUUCCCUUCUGUGCUAAGAUCCUGCCAGCCAAAAAUCAGUUUUUCUCUUGCUAUCAUGCAGUUUGAGAAAUGUAUUUUUGCACUCAUGAGUAGGUUCAGGACCACUGUCCACCACUUCGUGUUCAGGAUUAAAAAAGCCCAGCUCAGUACACAUUUCAGAAUCCGCUUCCUUCCCUGCUCCGGAAGCUGCUCCAGGUCAAACAUUGACCCUGGAAAUCCUAGGCAUUGCGAAAAGGGAAUCUGCACCUCUGAUUCUCUUGCUUUCUAACUACUCCAAACUUCAUGAAAGCCAAGGUGGGAAUGGGAGAACGGACAAUUUUGAUGGAGACAUUUUGCAAGGAAAGACCAUGGAAGAAAUGCUGCCGAGCAAACAGGGACAAUUAAUACAGUUGUGUUCCCAGCUGCCCACCAACCUGCCCUUCUCGUUACUGCCAGAAGAUGCGAAGAACCAGAGAAACGGGAGCAAGGAGAGCUCGCAGGAGAAAUGGAGAAGAAAACUCAGAAGACAGAACAAGACAACUGAAGGGCCCAAGUCAGCGAGAAGUAAUAUCCCCACUUUUAGAGGUAAUUUUUUUUUACAUCUCAGUAAUUUAAGAGAUUCUUUCAAAGACUCUCUUUGAAUUUUUUUUCUCUCUCUAGCAGAAUGAAGACUGAAAUCUGUAUCUUCUCCAUCGUACCUUGCAUUGUUAGCACUGAGGAAGAUGAGCGGUGUGGAUAGAAUCUUUUCUUCUCCAGGGAGAUUCAAUAACCCCACCGAGGACUAAGAGCACAUCCUGGGAGCACUCUGUCUGCUAAACGCUGUCAAAAAAACAACAUGGGAAAGCCAAGAUUUUCUAAGCUUGAGAGACCAGUUUCCCAAAGCUCUCUAGCAAAGCUCUUACGCUACUGGUAUUACUCCAUCAGAAGAAAUUGUUAAAGGAUGAUCAGAAAUACUAAGGCUGAAAAUGAUGCAACUGGAAAAUUCUCAACAGCUUUGGAAAUGGGACCUAAUGCAUUCAAAGCUGUAAGCCUUUACAAUAUUUCACAGACACUUUUUGCCAAUAUUCUCAGUUAGAGCUCAUUAUUUUUGUUCUUGAAGAAUAAAACCCAUUUAUUUCACUGCUGAUACAGAUUUGUAUCUGUUACUGCUUUGAAUUUUCUGUUUUAACUCCCAGAAAGAGGUUGUUACUGCAGAUGCCCCAGACUCAGCCAAAGGAUUGGCUUUCUGUGCAGCUCAGCCAUGUCCCUCGAUGACAGGUAUCAGAUGCCCCAGCUGACUUCACUGCAACUCCAGUUCCUGUUUGUUUUUCUUCUUUAGGCUUAUUAAAGCAACUCUUUGACUGAAAAGAAAGCACUUCUACUAAAACAGAUACUUGGAUUCCUUUUACUCCAAACUCCCAUAACACUGUGUCCCAGAUGACUUAAUACUGAAAAGGAUUCCAGUAAGUCUUGUAUAUGGAUGUAUGAACAUAGAAUCACAGAAUCAUGGAAUGUUUUGGGUUGGAAGGGACCUCAAAGCCCAUCCAAUUCCACCCCUGCCAUGGGCAUGGACACCUCCCACUGGAUCGGGGGCUCCAAGCCCCAUCCAACCUGGCCUGGAACCCCUCCAGGGAUGGGGCAGCCCCCACUGCUCUGGGCAACCUGGGCCAGGGCCUCCCCACCCUCACAGGAAAACAUUUGUCCCUAAGAUGUCAUCUCAAUCUCCCCUCUUUCAGCUUAAAAUCAUGAGCUGUAAUACUGUAAAGUGUUAGAAAAUGAGGAAAUAUAGAACUACGUUUGCCUGUGCAGCUUUGAUUUGGCCUGGGUAUGACAGUCCUUUACAGCUGAACCAUCCUUAGUUCUAUGUAAAAAAUCUACAGCUUUUCAGGUAACGGACAGUUUUUGCUGGUUUUCAAUCCUUUUUAUUAAAAGUAUAGUCUUCUGGUAUUAUUUAUUGCUCAUUAGCCAGUGCCAUCCCAGAACCUAAUUCCAUCAUGACAGUUUUUAUGUUUAUCUCCCUGGAGUGUUACGGUUCUUACACUUGCUCUAGGAUAGGUAGUAGUGGUACAAGUAGGAUGUAUGCCUGUGGGUGGAGGGAUAAAGAGUAUUUACUAUUAAAACACUGAAACCGUUCAUUUCCUUCCUUCUCCGGGUUCCCUUCCAGUACAACGUGUCAAGUUCUGCUCCUGAACGAUUUUUCUGAGUUUAAUAUAUUAUUAGUCAAGAGAUUAUCCUGGCUUCAUGCUAAGCCUUUAGCUGGUAACAAAGCCUUUAUGAAAACCUGUUGAAAUGCUACGUACAUAGCUUGGCUCCUGCCACACAGUCCUCUGCUGGCACUGUACAUAUAUAAUGCCUUUUCCAAGUCACAGCAGGUGGAAGCAUGGUUUGAGAAUCAUAGAAUCAUAGAAUAGAAUCAUAGAAUCAUAGAAUCAUAGAAUCAUAGAAUGGUUUGGUGUGGAAGGGACCUCAAAGCCCAUCCAGUUUCAACCCCCCUGCCACAGGCAGGGACACCUCCCACUGGAUCAGGUUGCCCAAAGUCCCACUCUUCCAGAACAGACUGGAACAUCCAGUAGCAUUAAUGUUUCAGGUAGCAACUGUUAAACAUUGUUGGAAAUACAAGAAGUAUUUAAAGGCCACAUGGUUUAGGAAGCUAAAAGGAGAUUAACUGGCACCAAAAUAUGGGCUAAAUAAAGAACUGAAGAGGGGUGCCUGCUACAACUUGCUUUUUGAAAUGAGAAAAAUGGAAACUAGUUAUAAAUGCAAACAUGAAGAGGAUGGCACUUUUCAAAGAGUGUAAAACUGUGGAGAGUUGUGGAGCGCCUGCCUCUUUCUAAAGCAGGAUGAUACCUACAAAUACAGGCAGUCACUGAGGGUACCAGAUUAACGUCUUGCCUGAAAUACCAAAAUCACUUUGUUCCAUUUCUUCAGACAGGCAUAAUGGAAUGAAAGAAAUGAGUUCAUAGGAAAGCCAGUCAUUGUGUCCCCCAAACGGUGGACUGCUUCCCCAUGAGAUGGUGCUAAGGUCAGGCUGCUCUCCACGCAAAGUUGGAGGGGUGCCCUGAGAAACCACAGCAUGGAUGUGGUGAUGUUCAUCCUUGUGAGUCCUGUUCCCAGGACUUCUAAGCAAAACAGAGCUGAAUGAACAAGUGAGAACAAAAUUCUAAAUAUCAACCUCAGCCUGGAUAAAAGCUUGGAAAAUUAUACAUUUAGUGGUAAAAAAUAUCUAGAAUAACAUGCUAAAAAACCUCAACAGAGCCUGCAGUCAUCGGAGUAGUACGUUAUAGUUAAGUUUUCAAGUAGUAUGGCAGAACUUAGUCUUAUGGUGCGCAGCUUCUAGGGUAGGUUUUCAGGAUCUCCAGCAACUCCAUUCCUCCAUCUCCCAGUGCUUCUGUGGUUGGUGUUGUAUCAACAAUAUCAACCCUGCAGGUUGUGUAACAAGAUAAUGAUGCAGCCCUCAGGGAUGAAGGUGGAGGCGCUGGUAGGAUGAUAAAGCCCCACCAUCCACCUACAGUAUGAAAUAAUUGAGAUUAGGUGAGGCUGCAGUCAAACAUGAAACAUUAAAAAACCUCUUCAUUAACAAUCAUAGAACCAAUUAUACUGAAGUUCUAUAAACUGUUCAAUUAACAAAUUAGAAAGCGUGAAAUGACCUCUGUGAUCUCCCAGUGUAUAAUGGAGAGUAGAUUUCCCUGAGCUAGUUUGUAUCAUUUAAAGGGGGAAACAUCACAUCUUGAUAUAAGUAUCAACAGAAAAAGCUACCAUAAUUCCUGGCAACCCUCUCAAUGGUUCAUUAUGGGUAACUAUAAAUUAUGAUUGCAGGUCUUGGACCUUUGUCUGCCAAGCCAUGUAUAUUUAAAUGGAUAUUUACUACAUAGGAAUGUUCAUAAAGGGCCCCCAUUAACCUUCUCUUUGAUAAGCUAAAUAGGUGGAACUCCUUGAGCCCCAGAAUUGGAAGAGAGUAUCCUUGCCCUUUAAUCAUGUCUCAUGUCUAUUCUAUGAAAUCCCUCUAAUUUUUCAUCACUCUUUUUGAAUUUAGGACGCCACACACAACAUUCCAACUUGCCUUGCAUCAGAGAAGUAUAAACCUUUCUAUUCUUGCUCAGUAUUUCCUUGCUUGGGCAAUCAAGAGGUGGAUUCCCUAUUCUAGUCACCAUGUUAGAGAAGCAGCAGUGGUGAUCAGCCUCCAACUCCUUUUCAGUUGACACUGCUUGCCAGGAGAGAACUUCCUAGGAGAUGGGCUUGGCCCUUGUUCUUCUUUCGAGAAUAUAUGUUAUGCUUAUUUACCCGUAUAAGGCAGAAAUGUUUUCAUACUAAUAUUGUAGAAGAAUAAGGCAUAAGGGGGCUUGUCAGAGGGUACCGUGAAGUAUCUGCGAAGGAGGAAGCUGAUGACAGGACAGGUCUUCUGAAUCCCAUACUGGCAACAGUACUGCACAUUUACAUUUGAAGUUGAAUUGCAGAGGCCAUGACCAGAUACGUCAUCAGCUGAUGGAUAGAAUCCCAUUAUCAGACUAAAUGCUAGCAUUUCUUUUCAGAUGCAUUUAAAACUCUCCUGGUGAAAUAAAAGAAUAGGGCUGGAACUAUUUCACCUAGCUGCCUCCUGCCAGUGCCACACAUUCUAUUUGAUAAAUAAUGCUACACAAACUUAGGAAAUAAAAUAUUUUCCCAGGUAGGAGGAAAAUAAGACCAAAUUGGAAAUACAGACAAAAGAAAAUAUUAUCUUAGUUAAUUCUUCCUUGUCGUCUUGUACAGUAGCUUUCACUGAAAUGCUGCUCUUGAUUCUGUCCUCAGUUUCCUACUGUAAGGAACAGAGACAGCCUUCAGCGUUGAUUUGUGUUGGGUAGAGCAACAAACCUUCUGCACCUUGUAGACCAAGCAAAAGAGAUACUAUACUAAAACGCCUAACUUUAGACCACAUUUCACAAUGAGUUUCACUUCUUCGUUCGGUCAAACCCUGUGCACCAGACAGGACUGGCUCUGAUAAGCUUCUCCUGUAAGAUGCUAUAACCGAGGCUGAAAUCUAGGCCAGAGCUAGGACAGUUCUUGGGAAGCUCUCUGGACUUCCUGGAGGGCAAGGUGUGGCUCUGUACGUGGGAGGUAAAUGCCAGGGAUUUUCUGUUACUACUAAUUAGGUGCAGCUUGAGUUUCAUUAAUAAGUGCUACAUAUGCAUACUGGGAAAAAGAGUUUAUCUGACACUGGGAUUAUUACAGGUUGCCAGCUGACUCUCUGACAAUGUUCAUUCACUUUGUCAUUUUGUGAUUAGCACUUAUAAAUGUCCUCAGCACGUUCACAUCUCACCAACACAGAAGGAAAAAAGUUCUGCCACGGAAGGUUUAUAAUGCAAAAGAGAAGGAAACCUCCUGAUGAGCAAAAGCAGACAAGGGGGGGGUGGGAGUGUUCGUUAGAGCUUGGCAUUGUUUGCCCUGAAGACCUUGGAAGUUAAUAACAAAGGAGCCAGCUAGCAGAAGUUUACUGAUAAGUGGGAACUGGAAGGUAGAAAGCUGCUGCAUUUGGCUCAGGAGUUUGAAAACUGCCAGAGGAGAGUGCGUCUGCACAAAGUUCAAGAAGAAAAAUAUUCAUCCCAAGGAAGACUUCCUACUUCAUCCCUAAGACCCCGGCCCAAGACCAUCAGGAGGCACAACGCAGGUGCAAGUCUGGAGUGAACUUUCCAGAACUAAUUAUAAUACGAAGCGGGGAAAGGGUAUGAAUAUGUAGUAGGCGCUUAUACCCAUGUAUGUCUUUACACCAUAAGUAGCUGCUUGUUAAGUUGUAUGGUAAGCAAGUGAGGAGGAGAACCCCCUGCACCCCAGCGCUGGAAAUAAACAUACCUGCUUUACAACUCACUUUGUGUUACAGGGUUUGAUUCCGCAAAACAAUUUGGCACCCUAGACGGGACACCGUCUCUGCCCGGCUGCAGGAUUGGUGGGGAGCGGGACAUUCUAAGGGCACCCUGGUAAGCUAUUCCUCCAGAGAAUCCCCCAUCUCUACCCGAUCGCUGUGGGGAGAGAGACGGCUCAUCAGCGGGCGGACCAGGUAUGUGAUUUAUGGAUGACAUGGUAGGAUAAUUUGGAUUUACCUGCAGGGUAGGA